rnacentral:ncRNA from 1 species
UAAAAUGCUGUGAAGGAGAAGAAGACAGUUGAUACCGUCAAAGAGAGCCGGGUAAGGUGAAAGCCGGUACGGGUCAAAGUUUUUCUAUCACUCCGGAGCAGCUGGUGCGAAUGUGAGUAGUACCAGACGCCUGCUGCGUUAAAUAAAUGAGGCCUUUUGAGGUAAAUCAGGGUGGUACCACGGGGAAAAAACUCCCCUCGUCCCUGGG